AUGCAGCGACGCCGCGUGGGGGAUGACGGUCUUCGGAUUGUAAACCCCUUUCAGUAGGGACGAAGCGCAAGUGACGGUACCUGCAGAAGAAGCACCGGCUAACUACGUGCCAGCAGCCGCGGUAAUACGUAGGGUGCGAGCGUUGUCCGGAAUUACUGGGCGUAAAGAGCUCGUAGGCGGUUUGUCACGUCGUCUGUGAAAUCCCUCGGCUUAACCGGGGGCGUGCAGGCGAUACGGGCAGACUUGAGUACUACAGGGGAGACUGGAAUUCCUGGUGUAGCGGUGAAAUGCGCAGAUAUCAGGAGGAACACCGGUGGCGAAGGCGGGUCUCUGGGUAGUAACUGACGCUGAGGAGCGAAAGCAUGGGUAGCGAACAGGAUUAGAUACCCUGGUAGUCCAUGCCGUAAACGGUGGGCGCUAGGUGUGGGGUCCUUCCACGGACUCCGUGCCGUAGCUAACGCAUUAAGCGCCCCGCCUGG
rnacentral:rRNA from 1 species